CAUGUCAGUGAUUUAUAAUGUCUUUGUGUUCUUCCUAUAUAUAGACAUCAAAAGACUCUUUGGGACCUAGGAAAAAGGACUGAUCAAUGGUCGUGGACAUCAUCACUCCAAUAAGAUAACACUCUGUUGUGCUGUUGCCUCCCAAAACUGUAUGACGUCACUGACAGUGCCCGCUUUCUUCGACCGUCGUAUCCAUCAUCUUCACGUUGUACAAAUCGUUUCUCCCUCUAUGUUAUAGUUACCCUGAUACUGUGCAUAUACGCUGUCCUAUGAGAAGAUGAAUGGGGUCCCAGUGUCUCGAUAAUUCAAUUGUUACGUCUGAUAAAUCGAUUUUCACAUGACAUGCGGGGGUGACAGCAGCUUGAACUGCAGUGCUGGAGAACAGCUGUGGCCACUAUUUUCACUUCUUCUGGUCCAACGGGUUGUGCGAUUCGUUAUGGACGGACAUAACGUAGAGGUACAAUUUUGUUGAACAUAUUAAAACAAUGUUGCACGUUAAAAAUUAGACGUGUGACUCUUGAUUACGAACGUCUGGCGUCACUAUUCACAAAUGAAUCAAGUAGAAACCAUUACAAAAUAUGAUUACGACGAAAUGAUUCCAUGUUAUUGUUUGGUCUUGUGCGGAACAGGACACAAUAAAUCCUUCGCCACGCCCCCUUCCCUUUUUUGUUUUGUCAUGUGUAGGCUACGUCCUGCUAUAUCACAGCUCAUCUUGCUUUACACAUAGCGAAGAAUGCCAAAAGAAUGCCAGCCUUUUGUUGCAUGCUGUACAUCUACAAUGAUGAUUUAUAUGAGCCACAUUGGACAAGAAACCCGGGAAACGAAGAAAGUAUUCUUGUUUGUUUUUUUCUAUUUGUUUUUUGCGAUAUUUUAAAGAUAUAUUGUUUGUUUCUAGCUGCAUGGGGAAAGAAUAUUUCUAUCGGACCAUGGUCGAAGCAAAUAAAGAAGGAAACAAGUUGGAAGGAUUUAUAUCUAUCGUCGUGUCAACUUGCUCUAAUAUACUUUCUUUUUCUCGCUGCUUUUCUAUAUGUAUGUACAAAUACGAAGGGGCAGCGUAGGAAAACGAACACUGGCCUUCCGCGGACGCAAUGAAACAACAAAAAUUGUCCCUCGUUUUUCUUUCAAUUUUUAUCCUCUACGUGAUUUGCUGGUGGAAUGCUGGAGCCCUGGUGAUAACGUUUUCCUCUAAUACCGUGGAGCACCACAUCGUGCGGACGCUGUAAUAUAUAGAUGCAGCAUAGCAAAACAAAAAUAACUGGAGCUCAAACAAACAAAAAAAUAUCCUACAUUAUUUUUUUGUUUUGUUAUUUAUUACAAUAGGCCUCGAAAAAUGUUUUUUUUUCCCCCA